GCCUGGAUAGCUCAGCUGGUUAGAGCAUGGUGCUAAUAAUGCAAAGGUUGCAGGUUCGAUCCCCAUAAGGGGCA
rnacentral:tRNA from 1 species